rnacentral:rRNA from 1 species
UGGGGAAUAUUGGACAAUGGGCGCAAGCCUGAUCCAGCCAUGCCGCGUGAGUGAUGAAGGCCCUAGGGUUGUAAAGCUCUUUCACCGGUGAAGAUAAUGACGGUAACCGGAGAAGAAGCCCCGGCUAACUUCGUGCCAGCAGCCGCGGUAAUACGAAGGGGGCUAGCGUUGUUCGGAUUUACUAGGCGUAAAGCGCACGUAGGCGGACUUUUAAGUCAGGGGUGAAAUCCCGGGGCACAACCCCGGAACUGCCUUUGAUACUGGAAGUCUUGAGUGUGGUGGAGGUGAGUGGAAUUCCGAGUGUAGAGGUGAAAUUCGUAGAUAUUCGGAGGAACACCAGUGGCGAAGGCGGCUCACUGGACCAUUACUGACGCUGAGGUGCGAAAGCGUGGGGAGCAAACAGGAUU